rnacentral:tRNA from 2 species
GCGCUAGUAGCUCAAUCAGAGCUCCGGCCUUGUAAGCCGGACGUUGGAGGUUAAAAUCCCCCCUGCCGCU